rnacentral:rRNA from 1 species
ACUCCUACGGGUGGCAGCAGUGGGGAAUCCUCCGCAAUGGGCGAAAGCCUGACGGAGCAACGCCGCGUGAGUGACGAAGGCCCUUGGGUCGUAAAACUCUGUCUUCAGGGAAGAAAAAAAUGACGGUACCUGAGGAGGAAGCCCCGGCUAACUACGUGCCAGCAGCCGCGGUAAAACGUAGGGGGCGAGCGUUGUCCGGAAUUACUGGGCGUAAAGGGCGUGUAGGCGGUUCGCGAAGUCAGGAGUGAAAACUCGGGGCUCAACCUCGAGAUUGCUUUUGAAACCAGCGGGCUUGAGUGCAGGAGAGGAAAGUGGAAUUCCCAGUGUAGCGGUGAAAUGCGUAGAUAUUGGGAGGAACACCAGUGGCGAAAGCGGCUUUCUGGCCUGU